rnacentral:lncRNA from 1 species
UUAGAAUUCCAAUCUGUAAUGCACUGUGCAGACACUUAAGCAUGAAUCAUUGUCCUGAAGUCUAAAUAAACAAAAGACUAAAUUUAUGGUCUAAAUUAAAGAGAAAAUAAAUAACAUCUGACAAAGAAUUCUUCCUAUGUUGCAGAUGGGAAAUGGAGUCAAUGCAAGAUUAAGUGAUUUGACGUCACCAGGGUCAUCCAGGCAACCUGUGGCAGCUAUUGGCAUUGAAUUGCUGCCUCCUGACUGCCAAGCUUAAUGGCAGAACCAUCUUUCUUUCCAUGAUACCUUUGCUCUUCUUAACUCUUUCACAUUUUGAUCUGACACAGCAAGACCAGGAGUAUGCCAUACUUACUACUGCAUUCUUCUGGGGCAGCUACAACUCUGAAACACAUGCUAGCAUUCUGGACUUGGAAAAAAAGAAAAGGAAAAAUACAAAGGCAAGAAAAUAACUCCAAGAUCUCAGCAGCUUAGCUAUCCCACCAUCUGUUUAAAAGGACAAAACAUUAAAACAGAACAAAACUUGUGGUCCAACAGCUAUGUCUGCAAAGAAGAAACAGUGCUAUAGUUGAAAUUCUAUGCAACACCCUUUGGAUCAAAAUAUUGCGACAACAACGAAUAGAAAUGACCACAUUUAAUGGAUACUCAAACAGCUAGGCCAUGACUCAGAUUCCUUACUGUUGUUUGGAAGUGAAACCUGAGAGCUGAGAAGAGAGAGGGGAAGAAACCUUGUGUUAAGCUGGCAUGCACCAGUGAAUAAAUGGCUGGCAUUUGCAAAGCUGCA